rnacentral:rRNA from 1 species
UACGAAGGGGGCUAGCGUUGCUCGGAAUCACUGGGCGUAAAGCGCACGUAGGCGGCUUUUUAAGUCAGGGGUGAAAUCCUGGAGCUCAACGUCCAGAACUGCCUUUGAUACUGAGAAGCUUGAGUCCGGGAGAGGUGAGUGGAACUGCGAGUGUAGAGGUGAAAUUCGUAGAUAUUCGCAAGAACACCAGUGGCGAAGGCGGCUCACUGGCCCGGUACUGACGCUGAGGUGCGAAAGCGUGGGGAGCAAACAGGG